GAAAGCGCUCUACUGGACGGCAACUGACACUCAGGGACGAAAGCUAGGGGAGCGAAUGGGAUUAGAUACCCCAGUAGUCCUAGCUGUCAACGAUGGAUACUAGGUGUAGCUUGUAUCGACCCGAGCUGUGCCGAAGCUAACGCGUUAAGUAUCCCGCCUGGGGAGUACGCAAGCAAGUGUGAAACUCAAAGGAAUUGACGGGGGCCCGCACAAUCGGUGGAGUAUGUGGUUUAAUUCGAUGCAACGCGAAGUACCUUACCAGGGCUUGACAUGUACGGAAUCCCGGUGAAAGCUGGGAGUGCCUUCGGGAGCCGGAACACAGGUGGUGCAUGGCUCUCGUCAGCUCGUGUCAUGAGAUGUUGGGUUAAGUCCCGCAACGAGCGCUACCCUCGUCUUUAGUUGCCAGCAUUAAGUUGCGCACUCUAGAGAGACUGCCGCUGACAAGCCGGAGGAAGGUGGGGAUGACGUCAAGUCAGCAUGCCCCUUACGCUCUGGGCGACACACGUACUACAAUGGUCGGGACAGAGGGCAGCGAACCUGCGAAGGCAAGCUAAUCCCAGCAAACUCGGCGUCAGUUCAGAUCACAGCAUGCAACUCGCCUGCGUGAAGGAGGAAUCGUUAGUAAUCUCCGGUGAGUAUAAUACGGCGAAUCCGUUCCCGGGCCUUGUACACACCGCCCGUCACACCAUGGAAGCUGGCCACGCCCGAAGUCGUUACCCUAACCUUUCGGGGAAGG
rnacentral:rRNA from 1 species